AAUUAAUUAAAAUAGUCAAAACCACUAAAUUAAGUGUCAUUAAUUACAUUACAUUAAAUUAUGCGUUAAAAACUGUAAUAAAUAAUCCAUGUACAUUAAAAUAUCGUUAACGUAAGAUGAAACUUAUCUUAUAAGAAACCGUGAGAAUUAAUUAAUUAAAACCAUAAAAAUAUGACGGAUGCGAUUGAAAUUUAUUUUCCCGGAAAUAUUAAUUAAUUAAAAAGGCGUAUUUCGUUAAACGGCUAUAACGCAUAUGAGUUAAAACGUAUUAAAUUAAAAAAAAUUAUUAAUUAAUUAUUAUUUAUUUUAAACAAUCUUAAUUAAAACUAAAAAGGUCAAUAAAAAAAUCUAAACUAAAUUUGUCCCCGAUAUGCGACGAUCUAAUUAAUUAAAAUGAGGUGGAUUACGUCAUACAAGGUUGGAUAAUGGAUAAUAAUUAAUUAAAGAGUGAAGUCCCAGCAUUAUAAUUAGAAUUGAAACUUGAAGUUGUAAUUUAACUUUUUUAAUGUACGUUCUUAAAAUUAAAUAAUUAGGUGGAGUAAUAAAAUUUUAAAUUAAAUUAAAAUUAGAUUAAAUUAGAAGGCUAUUAUGGUUAAUUAAUUAAUUAAUAAAGUAGAAUUUUAAUUAAUUAUUCUUGUUGAACAUUAAAGUCAUAUUUUCGUAAGCCUUGGAACUUGAAAUGGUUACUUUUGGUAAUGGUAAAAAGAAACUUACGGAAGUUAAUGGUUAAUUUAAUAUUCAAAAAACUUUAGACUGAUCUGUAAUUAAAACAAAAUUAAUUAAUUAAGAAGUUUAUGGUGGAAAUUAAAAUGGUUAAUGUGGUGCCCCAAUUAAGAUCUUAACUCAUUAAAAAUUCUCGUUAAUAUUCUUAAGAUUAAAAGGGUUAUUAAACUGAAUAAAAAAUUAAUUAAAAUAGUUAAAACCAUUAAAUUAAGUGUCAUUAAUUACAUUACAUUAAAUUAUGCGUUAAAACUGUAUUAAAUAAUCCAUGUACAUUAAAAUAUUGUUAACGUAAGAUGAAACUUAUCUUAUAGGAAACCGUGAGAAAUAAUUAAUUAAAACCAUAAAAAUAUGACGGAUGCGAUUAAAAUUUAUUUUCCCGGAAAUAUUAAUUAAUUAAAAAAGCGUAUUUCUUUAAACGGCUAUGGCGCAUAUGAGUUUAAACGUAUUAAAUUAAAAAAUGGUUAAUUAAUUAAUGAAUAUUAAACAAUCUUAAUUAAAAAAUCUAAACUAAAUUAAAAUUAUGUCCCCGAUAUGUGACGAUCUAAUUAAUUAAAAUGAGGUGGAUUACGUCAUACAAGGUUGGAUAAUGGAUAAUAAUUAAUUAAAGAGUGAAGUCCCAGCAUUAUAAUUAGAAUUGAAACUUGAAGUUGUAAUUUAUCUUCUUUAAUGUACGUUCUUAAAAUUAAAUAAUUAGGUGGAGUAAUAAAAUUUUAAAUUAAAUUAAAAUUAGAUUAAAUUAGAAGGCUAUUAUGGUUAAUUAAUUAAUUAAUAAAGUAGAAUUUUAAUUAAUUAUUCUUGUUGAACUUUAAAGUCAUAUUUUCAAAAAAGUAAACUGGUUAAUUAAGAUGUAAGCCUUGGAAGUUGAAAUGGUUAUUUUUGGUAAUGGUAAAAAUAAACUUAACGGAAGUUAAUGGUUAAUUUAAUAUUCAAAAAACUUUAGACUGAUCUGUAAUUAAAACAAAAUUAAUUAAUUAAGAAGUUUAUGGUGGAAAUUAAAAUGGUUAAUGUGGUGCCCCGAUUAUUAAGAUCUUAACUCAUUAAAAAUUCUCGUUAAUAUUCUUAAGAUUAAAAGGGUUAUUAAACUGAAUAAAAAAUUAAUUAAAAUAGUCGAAACCAUUAAAUUAAGUGUCAUUAAUUACAUUACAUUAAAUUAUGCGUUAAAACUGUAAUAAAUAAUCCAUGUACAUUAAAAUAUUGUUAACGUAAGAAACCGUGAGAAAUAAUUAAUUAAGACCAUAAAAAUAUGACGGAUGCGAUUGAAAUUUAUUUUCCCGGAAAUAUUAAUUAAUUAAAAAAGCGUAUUUCGUUAAACGGCUAUGGCGCAUAUGAGUUAAAACCUAUUAAAUUAAAAAAUCGUUAAUUAAUUAAUGAAUAUUUAUUUUAGACAAUCUUAAUUAAAACUAAAAAGGUCAAUUAAAAAAAUCUAAAUUAAAUUUGUUUCCGAUAUGCGACGAUUAAAUUAAUUAAAAUGAGGUGGAUUACGUCAUAUAAGGUUGAUAUAAUUUAAUUAAUUAAACAAAAAAUAAACCAUCGAUAAUAAUUAAAGAGUGAAGUCGCAGCAUUAUAUUUAAAACUUGAAGUUGUAAUUUAUCUUCUUUAAUGUACGUUCUUAAAAUUAAAUAAUUAGGUGGAAUAUUAAGAUUUAACUUUGAUUAAUUAAAUAAAAAAUCAGUCGUGGAUAACAAUUAAAGAGUGGAGCCUUGACAUUACAAUAACAGGUUUAUAAUUAAAACUUGAAGUUAAAUAAUUUAUAAUUUUUGAAAUCAUAAAAAUAUAAACGGUGCGAUUGAAAUUUAUAUUUCAGAAAAUAUUAAUUAAUUAAAAGAGGCGUAAAUCAUUAAUUUUAUUAUUAUAAUUAAAAGUCGAAAUUAAUGGCUAGUUAAUUAAUUAAAAAGCCUAAAGUGAAACUCGAUUUGGUUUAGUGUGUUGAUGUAAGGGCGAAAUUUAAUGGAAAUUAUUUAAAAAAAGUUCAAUUCGAGAAAAUAUUACAAAUUUUGAAAUUAAUGUUUAUGUCUUCGAUGUACUACGAUGGAUUAAUUAAUUAAAAUGAGGUGGAUUACAUUCAGCGUUAAAAUACUAAAAUUAGAGACUAGUUGUUUAACGAAUAAUAAUUAAAAUUGAAAAACAGUUUUAAGUAAUUUAAGGUUAAUUGUGGUUAAAACAAGUUAAUUAAAAUUUACGUCAUAAACAAAAUAAAAUAACGUCAUACCCAGGAAAUUAAUAUUGAAUCUUAAGAUUAAAUUAAAUUUAACCCUUUGACCUGGUUUUAAAGUCUUUGGAAGUUAGGUUGAUUAAAUCGCAAAACAGUGGAAAGGGAAUUAAACCGUGAAAAGUGGAUAAAAUUAAAAGGCUAAUAAAACUUUUAAUUAAUGUAUUAAAAAGGUAGUAAAAUGCUCGUUUGUUGACACAGUAAAAAUAAAAUUUAAUAAUUAUUUAAUAGAAGAAUCUUAGUUAAAUUAAUGCAAAAUUAAAUUAUGGAAAGAGUUUUACAAUUAAAAAGGGUCAUUAACUUAAAAGUAUACGGCGGAAAGCAAAUUAAACUAACGGUCGAAAUUUAAGCGUUCA